rnacentral:rRNA from 1 species
UACAGAGGGUGCAAGCGUUGUUCGGAAUUAUUGGGCGUAAAGGGCGCGUAGGCCGCACGGUAAGUCAGAGGUGAAAUCCCGGAGCUCAACUUCGGAAUUGCCUCCGAUACUGCCGUGCUUGAGGCUGGGAGGGGCUGGUGGAAUUCCCUGUGUAGCGGUGAAAUGCGUAGAGAUGGGGGAGAACACUCGUGGCGAAGGCGGCCAGCUAGACCAGUUCUGACACUGAGGCGCGACAGCGUGGGGAGCAAACAGG